AGCGAACGCUGGCGGCAGGCCUAACACGUGCAAGUCGAGCGCCCCGCAAGGGAGCGGCAGACGGGAGAGUAACACGUGGGAACGUACCUUUCAGUUCGGAACAACCCAGGGAAACUUGGGCUAAUACCGAAUACGCCCGCAAGGGGAAAGAUUUAUCGCUGAAAGAUCGGCCCGCGUCCGAUUAGCUAGUUGGUGAGGUAAUGGCUCACCAAGGCGACGAUCGGUAGCUGGUCUGAGAGGANGAUCAGCCUCAUUGGGACUGAGACACGGCCCAAACUCCUACGGGAGGCAGCAGUGGGGAAUAUUGGACAAUGGGCGCAAGCCUGAUCCAGCCAUGCCGCGUGGUGAUGAAG
rnacentral:rRNA from 1 species